rnacentral:sRNA from 1 species
AUAAAGCAGCAGCAGCAGCUGCUGCUGCUGCUGCUGCUACUGCAGCAAGCAGCAGCUGCUGCUGCUGCUACUGGUGCAGCAGCUGCAGCGGCAGCUACUGUUGCAGCGGCAGCAGUAGCAGCAGCAGCAGCUGCUGCAGGUGCUACUGUAGCUGUUUUUGUUGCAGGAACUGCUGCUACAGCUGCAGCAGCACCAGCAGCUACAGCUGCAGCAGCACCAGCAGCUACAGCUGCAGCAGCAGCAGCAGCUGCUGCUGCUGCAGUGU